UGCGACCCAAAGUCAGGCGGGGUUCCCCACUGAAUUUG
rnacentral:rRNA from 1 species